rnacentral:lncRNA from 1 species
CAAAAUCAAAAAAUUCUAGUCAUUUCCAUAAAUUGUUGAUAUAUAAACAAGUAGAAAACAACAUAUUGGAAAGAACAUAUAUUUUAUUACUAAAAUUUAUUUAUAAAUUCUGAAAAAAAAUUAUAAAUUUGAUCUUGAAAAUAUAGAAUAAUUAAAAAAAAUUAAUAAGAUUAUCCGAAAGGAAUGAUAAUGUGAAACAAUGAGAGGG